rnacentral:rRNA from 1 species
GAUCCUGGCUCAGGACGAACGCUGGCGGCGUGCUUAACACAUGCAAGUCGAACGCUGAAGCUUGGUGCUUGCACUGGGUGGAUGAGUGGCGAACGGGUGAGUAUCACGUGAGUAACCUGCCCCUGACUUCGGGAUAAGCCUGGGAAACUGGGUCUAAUACCGGAUAUGACCAUCUUUCGCAUGUUGGGUGGUGGAAAGUUUUUUCGGUUGGGGAUGGGCUCGCGGCCUAUCAGUUUGUUGGUGGGGUAA